AUUUGAAGAUACGGAAAGUUCAGAAGAAAGUUUUGACAUAAUAUUCUCCAUAAGGUUUAUGAAGAAGUUGAUGCAACAGAUGGAUAAACUCCAAUUCUUUCCGAUCUUAAGGCCAAAUUCCCAUGUCAAGAUGGUUGAUAAAAAGUGGAUUGAUGUUGUCCCAUCAUCUCCAAACUCGUACCAAUUUUAUUGUUCAAUUUACAGUUCCUUAAACGCAUGCCCG
rnacentral:misc_RNA from 1 species